AGCAGCCGCGGUAAUUCCAGCUCCAAUAGCGUAUAUUAAAGUUGUUGCAGUUAAAAAGCUCGUAGUUGAAUUUCGGGGUUAGUAGGUUGGUCGUGCCACCGGUAUGUACUGGCUCUACUGAUCCCUCCUUCUUGUAGAACCGUAAUGCCAUUAACUUGGUGUUGCGGGGAAACAGGACUGUUACUUUGAAAAAUUAGAGUGUUUAAAGCAGGCUAACGCUUGAAUACAUUAGCAUGGAAUAAUGAAAUAGGACGCUCGAUCCUAUUUUGUUGGUUUCUAGGAUUGACGUAAUGAUUAAUAGGGAUAGUUGGGGGCAUUAGUAUUCAAUUGUCAGAGGUGAAAUUCUUGGAUUUAUUGAAGACUAACUACUGCGAAAGCAUUUGCCAAGGAUGUUUUCAUUAAUCAAGAACGGAAGUUAGGGGAUCGAAGACGAUCAGAUACCGUCGUAGUCUUAACCAUAAACUAUGCCGACUAGGGAUCGGAUGAUGUUAAUUUUUUAAUGUACUCAUUCGGCGCCUUA
rnacentral:rRNA from 1 species